UCCAAGUGGUAUACACACUGUUUUUUCUCAAUAUCAAACUCAGCCAGUCCAGGUUGUCAAAUAACAAUCUAUCUGAUAAGCCAAGCAUGUGUUGUACAUCAGAUGUUGGGUAUGUUUGCUGCAAAUCUAUUGGUUAUAAGAUAUAACAGCCUUUUCUAAUUGGCUGAAUUCAAAUACAGAAAGUUUACCUGUUAGAUUGAAACAUGAAACAUGGUGGACAAUGUACUGGUUUAACUUGUUAAAAUAAAGUUAAAGACAUUUAACAAACAGAAGAGUUCAUUAGUUUUUCCAUUAAAAACACUUUCUUAAAAUACUUAUGUAUUUAUAUCAUUUGGAAAGUGACAUGAAAUAUUGCUAAAGAGUGAUGCAUACAGUGUUUGAGCAGUCUGUCUAGGAAUAGAACAACAACUGAAGUUGAUGGAAGAUACUGCAGAGUUUGGCAGGGAAAUAAUCCAACAGCAAAGCGGCUCUUUAAGCGCAUUUACCUAGAGGACUUACAGGGCCACAAAUUCAUGAGCACAUGUGAGCAGUAUACAAUGUACCUCAUACCAAAAAACGACCCGGAGGCAGUGACUGGUGUUCAAUAUUCUCAGAAGAAAAGGAAAAUGGCAGUGGGAGACUUGGACAAACAUUUUUAAAAACUAGCCUCUGUGUUAAGCCUGGCAGUCUGUGGCUGGUGACAUGUUUUAUUUUGGUAACUUCUUGUAUAAAAAAGACCAGUUAUUUAUUUUGUGAAUUGUAUUUUGUGUUUGUUUUUUGUCUUAAUUUAUUUGUUGUUUUUUUUAAUUUAGGAAUUUGAAACUUGGAUAAUUGAAUUAAGUCCGUGUUCAACAGUACUGAGCAUAGUAUAAUAAAUAACAAAUUUACAACAGUUGUUAAUUUGUUAUGUAUUAUUAUUAACUAUGCUCAGUACUUGAAUACUGGCUGUCUGCAUGGGAAUUUGUUUUCUAGAAAGUUGGUUUCAGACUUAAAUAUUUGAAGUUAACCUUCGGAACUUUUCUAGAAUUGUACUGGAACACAUCAACUAGAACUGAACUUCUGUUAUCAUACUGAAAGUGUUCUAGAAUUAAUAAGGAACAGUUGUUGAACGUUAAAUUUAUGAGAAAAAACUCUAGAACAAUUGUGCGUGAUGUGUGUGUGCAUGUAAUUGUGUGUGUUUAUGAACAUAUGUGAGAAAGGAAGUAUACUUGUCAUAAGCGAAAUGUAAAAUUCUACUUCUAUGUUUUAUAUUGUGCCUUUUAUAAGUUUUUCUUUUCUCACCUGUAUAUGCGUGCAUGUUUAUGGAUGUGUUUUUGAAUGUGUGCAUGCAUGCCUGUGGUUAAGAGAGUUGGUACUUUAUGAAAAUGUAAAACCACUCAUUUUUUAAUAUGUACUGUGACUGCAUGUGUGUGGUUAAUGAUUGAUGCCAGAUCUUGUUCUUGUUUAACUUCUAUGAUGAAACCUUUAGUUACAUUCACAUUUGUUUUUCAAAAUCAAUAA